rnacentral:rRNA from 1 species
AUUGAACGCUGGCGGCAGGCCUAACACAUGCAAGUCGAGCGGAUGAAGGGAGCUUGCUCCUGGAUUCAGCGGCGGACGGGUGAGUAAUGCCUAGGAAUCUGCCUGGUAGUGGUGGAUGACGUCCGGAAAAGGGCGCUAAUACCGCCUACGUCCUGAGGGAGAAAGAGGGGGAUCUUCGGACCUCACGCUCUCAGAUGGGCCUAGGUCGGAUUAGCUAGUUGGUGGGGUAAGGGCCUACCUAGUCGACUAUCCGUAACUGGUCUGAGUGAAUGAUCAGUCACACGGGAAGUGAGACACGGUCCAGACGCCUACGGGAGGCAGCAGUGGGGAAUAUUGGACAGUGGGCGAAAGCCUGGUCCAGCCAGGCCGCGUGUGAGAAGAAGGUCUUCGGAGUGUAAAGCACUUUAAGUUGUGAGGAAGGGCAGUAAGUUAAUACCUUGCUGUUUUGACGGUACCAGCAGAAGAAGCACCGGCUAACUUCGUG